rnacentral:tRNA from 1 species
GAGUCGAGUGGUUAAGGCGAUGGACUGCUAAUGCAUUGGGCUCUGCCUGCGCGGGUUCGAAUCCCAUCCU